GAGACACCCUUCUGGGGCAAGACUUGCUUCACUGGGGCUUUGGAGCUCACUGAGUUAGCCCCCUGAGUGUGUCCCU
rnacentral:pre_miRNA from 1 species